ACAGUAAAUUCUGAUGUCUUUGAGGAAAAAAAUAUUUACGGCAAGCUCCUGUAAAAUCUUACGGUAAAAAGCAGUAUUUAUUUAUUUUUUACAGCAAGCUACCUAUAAUCUUACGGUAUAAUACAGUAUUUUAUUUUAUUUUUCAGUUAACCUUAAAUCAGACUUCAUCCUCGGUCCGUUUUAUAGUUCAUCUGAGCAAAAUUAAAAAUAGGCCUACACAUCAGUGUUUUUAUUUAAGAUUGAGGACACAAUAACAAGAAGAUGAAGAAUUGGUUUUCAUCCGGACUCUUAAACUGACCGCACCAGACUGAAAGGAGCACAUGUUUCACCGGCUGCUUUCCUCAGCGCUCUCUCUGCAACGCGCAGCACACCCUCACCCUCCUGUCUCCGAGGCUUUCUUAACAAGAUUACUGUCACACCAGCCAAUGUUGAGCGCACCCUGACCCUCCCAACAGUCCACGACUGAUUCUACUGGUUGCAUCAGUCACAUUGGAACAUUGGAUGAUCAGCAUUGAAAGCCAGGUCAUCUGGGAAGGCAUCUAAAAAAAAGCUUCAUCACAGGGCUUGCUACUUGCUAUGUGUUCAAUCUACUAUACCAAGAAGAAGCUGUAAGGACACUGGAGUUUGUU